CCAAUGUAGAAAAGUAAACGCAUAACAAUACGCACAUUAAAAUUCAGUUCAAGAGAAGUCCGAGUCUGAUGUCAGAAGAUGUAACCAAAGAAAAUAAACAAAAUGACAAUAAUACAUAAAUAACAACAGACUACUAGCAGUUAACUGACAUGCCAGCUCCAGACUUCAAUUAAACUGACUGAAAGAUUAUGAUUUCAUCAUAUGAACACCAGGCA
rnacentral:lncRNA from 1 species